rnacentral:rRNA from 1 species
CGUAGGUGACCUGCGGAGGAUCAUUGUCGAAACCUGCAUAGCAGAACGACUCGUGAACAAGUAAGACAACACUAGGGUGACCUCUGGGGCCUCCGGGCGCCAUUGCGAACCUAAUGGCUAAGCCGUGUCAUGUCAGGCUAGGCUUCGGCCUGUUUCACAUGCACUGCUAAGUCUAACAACCAACCCCGGCGCAAGACGCGCCAAGGAAAACAUAAAAUAAAAGAGAAGACGCGUCUGACCGGUCCCGGCCUCGGGAUCCCGGAAAGAAUGCCGUCCUCCUUUUUUAAAAAAACGACUCUCGGCAACGGAUAUCUCGGCUCUCGCAUCGAUGAAGAACGCAGCGAAAUGCGAUACUUGGUGUGAAUUGCAGAAUCCCGCGAACCAUCGAGUUUUUGAACGCAAGUUGCGCCCAAAGCCUUUCGGCCGAGGGCACGUCUGCCUGGGUGUCACGCAGCAUCGCUCCCAACCCAUUGGGGUGCGGAAUAUGGCCUCCCGUGCGAUUCUCUCCCGCGGUUGGCCUAAAAGAAUGGUCCUCGGCUGCAAAUGCCGCGACAAUCGGUGGUUGCAAGGCCCUCGGACACAGUCGCGCGCGCACGUAUGCCUUUGGAUAACGAGACCCCUCUGCGUCCGCGUCCUUCGCGGCACGCUCACAUCGCGACCCCAGGUCAGGCGGGAUUACCCGCUGAGUUUAAGCUUUA